rnacentral:tRNA from 1 species
GAACGGAUGGCCGAGUGGUGUAAGGCGGCAUAUUUAUGCUAAGGGCGUGCGUACAUUGCUCCAGCUGAUCUAUCUGGCGUCUUAGUAAUUCGUGAGUUCGAAACCCACUCGGUUCA